UACGGGGGGAGCAAGCGUUGUUCGGAUUUACUGGGCGUAAAGGGCGCGUAGGCGGCCACCGCAAGUCGACUGUGAAAUCUCCGGGCUUAACCCGGAAAGGUCAGCCGAUACUGCGGGGCUAGAGUGCGGAGGGGGCAACUGGAAUUCUCGGUGUAGCGGUGAAAUGCGUAGAUAUCGAGAGGAACACCUGCGGCGAAGGCGGGUUGCUGGGCUGACACUGACGCUGAGGCGCGAAAGCUAGGGGAGCGAACGGG
rnacentral:rRNA from 1 species